GAUGAACGCUGGCGGCGUGCUUAACACAUGCAAGUCGAACGAAGCACUUUAAUCGAUUUCUUCGGAUUGAAAUUUUAGUGACUGAGUGGCGGACGGGUGAGUAACGCGUGGGUAACCUGCCUCACACAGGGGGAUAACAGUUGGAAACGGCUGCUAAUACCGCAUAAGCGCACAGUACCGCAUGGUACGGUGUGAAAAACUCCGGUGGUGUGAGAUGGACCCGCGUCUGAUUAGCUAGUUGGCGGGGCAGCGGCCUACCAAGGCGACGAUCAGUAGCCGACCUGAGAGGGUGACCGGCCACAUUGGGACUGAGACACGGCCCAAACUCCUACGGGAGGCAGCAGUGGGGAAUAUUGCACAAUGGGGGAAACCCUGAUGCAGCGACGCCGCGUGAGCGAAGAAGUAUUUCGGUAUGUAAAGCUCUAUCAGCAGGGAAGAAGAAAUGACGGUACCUGACUAAGAAGCACCGGCUAAAUACGUGCCAGCAGCCGCCGUAA
rnacentral:rRNA from 1 species